rnacentral:rRNA from 1 species
AAUAUUGGACAAUGGGCGAAAGCCUGAUCCAGCAAUGCCGCGUGAGUGAUGAAGGNCCNNGGGUUNUNAAGCUCUUUUACCAGNNNNNAUAAUGACAGUCCCUGGAGAAUAAGCUCCGGCUAACUCCGUGCCAGCAGCCGCGGUAAUACGGAGGGAGCUAGCGUUGUUCGGAAAUACUGGGCGUAAAGCGCACGUAGGCGGCGCCGUAAGUCAGGGGUGAAAUCCCGGGGCUCAACCCCGGAACUGCCUUUGAAACUGCAGUGCUAGAAUCUUGGAGAGGUCAGUGGAAUUCCGAGUGUAGAGGUGAAAUUCGUAGAUAUUCGGAAGAACACCAGUGGCGAAGGCGACUGACUGGACAAGUAUUGACGCUGAGGUGCGAAAGCGUGGGGAGCAAACAG